CCACAGGUAGGUUAGAACAGGUAACCUACUGAUGAAAAGUGGUGGAAAUGCGGUGACUAUGCCUCGUCUCCUACUAGGUCCGACCCGAACUCUGCAGACUGGACAUUUUAAAACGAAUGGCCCAGGGGAAACAUUUAACAACGUUAGAGUGAGUGGACCAAAAAUAAAAUAAAGGAAAUAAUGCUUUAUGCUUUCCCAAUUUUACUUUUCCAUAAAAAAAAAAAAUAUGCUGCAUGCGACAGCUCAAAAUGCUCAACACGAAAACUAGAAUUUCAUGACUGGCUCCGGCCAGUCUCCAACGCUCAAUAAAAUACAGCCUCUCAGACUAAAAUAAAAUAUGUAUGUAUUAUAUUCGUCAUAUCCCUUGUAUGAAUUUUCUUGAAACAACAAAAACAAAUAGAAAAUUCACACAAGGCUACAACGCUUACAUCUAACGCUCACGUUGCACCAUAAUGGCAUUUUACCUUAUUAUGGUGGAAAAGACGGUGUAUAAAUAUACGCGCAUAUCCCCUAUAUAAAUUAUUCUUUUUAUAUAGGGCUACAACGAUCGCGUCUAACGCUCACGUUGCACCAUAAUGGAAUUUUACCUCAGUAUGGUGGAAAAACACGUAUAGCUAGCUAGCAUUCUCUCAUAUACAUAUUAUUCUCAUAAUCAUCCACAUAUGGAUAUAUAUAUAUAUAUACUCACCGAAAUUCUCAAUUUCGGUUAUUCUCCAACAUCAUAAAUUAUUUCGCAUGCACAUUAUUUAAAACAAAAGUCCACUCACUAAUUAGGCCUAAGCCUGAUGUCGAUCUGGGGCCUCGUCAGCUCGAGCCUCCUCGCGUCCUGUUCCAAAACAUAAAUAAUUCCUUAAAUAAAAUCCCAACGUUUAAAGAAAAUAGGCAUAAUUAAAUAUGAGCUUCUCGCGCUCAACCAUGCUUAUCGUCCUAAAUCUUAACUUCACUGCCAACCAAAAAUCUCCAUAAAUACCGACAUCCUCAAAAAAUCACCUUCCAACGUCCUAAUCAUAAAAAUAAUCCAAUGGCCGGAUUUUAACUUAUUAAUCCGCAAAAAAUACCAAACUUUACAAAUUCCAAAACCUAACCAAAAAUCCUCCAAAAACUCCUAAAUUCACCUCAAUAAUAUCCCCUUAAUAUUCUACAUCAAAAACCACAAAAUUUCCCAAAACAGCGGCGGCUCCGCCGGCAGCGGCGGCCGGAGGCCAAUUUCCGACGACCUACAAUUCCUAUGAAAUUUUAACAGCAUCUUCCUCUCAUCAUGCUCUACAACUUUCCUAACUAGCACAAACCCAAAAUCCAAGCCUAGCUAUGCCAAUCGAAUCAAAACAUCCAUAAAUCCCUAAAACUUUCAACUAAACAAACCACCCUAACGAAAACGAAUUUAGCCUAAUCCUUUUGAGGGAUUACUCACCUAGAUGAGGGCUACAAGUUGAGCCAAAAAUCACGACCUAUGGUGGCCGGAAGACGGAGCUCCGGCAAAAAACCCUUUCCGGCAGUCGAACCUUUCGGGGUUGACCGCUCCUUCACAGCAGCGUUCCGCGCGCGUGCACCGGUCCAGGAUGAGAGAGGAAGAGGCAAGGGUCCGAACGGGACCAGUCUGUCGGUCGGUGGUGGCCGGACGGCGGCGGACGGCGGUGGUGAAGUUUCCGGGCGGAGGGAGGAGAAAAUCGGGUG
rnacentral:lncRNA from 1 species